rnacentral:rRNA from 1 species
GAUGAACGCUGGCGGCGUGCCUAAUACAUGCAAGUCGAGCGAACGGACGAGAAGCUUGCUUCUCUGAUGUUAGCGGCGGACGGGUGAGUAACACGUGGAUAACCUACCUAUAAGACUGGGAUAACUUCGGGAAACCGGAGCUAAUACCGGAUGAUAUUUUGAACCGCAUGGUUCAAAAGUGAAAGACGGUCUUGCUGUCACUUAUAGAUGGAUCCGCGCUGCAUUAGCUAGUUGGUAAGGUAACGACUUACCAAGGCAACGAUGCAUAGCCGACCUGAGAGGGUGGUCGCACACACUGGAACUGAGACACGGUCCAGACUCCUACGGGAGGCAGCAGUAGGGAAUCUUCCGCAAUGGGCGAAAGCCUGACGGAGCAACGCCGCGUGAGUGAUGAAGGUCUUCGGAUCGGAAAACUCUGUUAUUAGGGAAGAACAAAUGUGUAAGUAACUGUGCACAUCUUGACGGUACCUAAUCAGAAAGCCACGGCUAACUACGUG